AUGUCCACUAUUAGAACUGGUUGCAUCUUGUGGGUUGUUUGUGGCAACCACAGUAGCAUCAACAUAAUCAUCAUCUUGUGUAGGUGCGCAAGAAAAGCAUGUAAGCCAUUUACCAACAGUGGAGCGAGCAGCAUGGCUAACAUGAAGAGCAUGACCACGGAGGUUAUCACCCAGCUCCGGUACAGCAUCCUGGGUGCCAUCCAACUGGUCUUGGAUCAUGAAGUAAUGGAGCUCAUCCAGAGCGUCCUCAGCCUCAUCAGCCUUCUUGCUCAGGUCCUGCAGCAAGCUCUGCAGGCCAGGGUUGCUGCUCACAUCCCUGUCCUGGGCCGCGUGCAGCAGCCCUUGCAUGUACUUGAGCUUGGUAUUGAUCUGCUCGGAGUUGAGCAUGGUUUUAAAUAG
rnacentral:rRNA from 1 species